rnacentral:rRNA from 1 species
AGCAGUGAGGAAUAUUGGUCAAUGGGCGAGAGCCUGAACCAGCCAAGUAGCGUGCAGGAUGACGGCCCUCCGGGUUGUAAACUGCUUUUAGUUGGGAAUAAAAAAAGGGACUUGUCCCUUCUUGUAUGUACCUUCAGAAAAAGGACCGGCUAAUUCCGUGCCAGCAGCCGCGGUAAUACGGAAGGUCCAGGCGUUAUCCGGAUUUAUUGGGUUUAAAGGGAGCGUAGGCGGAUUGUUAAGUCAGCGGUUAAAGGGUGUGGCUCAACCAUGCAUUGCCGUUGAAACUGGCGAUCUUGAGUGCAGACAGGGAUGCCGGAAUUCGUGGUGUAGCGGUGAAAUGCUUAGAUAUCACGAAGAACUCCGAUCGCGAAGGCAGGUGUCCGGGCUGCAACUGACGCUGAGGCUCGAAAGUGUGGGUAUCAAACAGGAUUAGAUACCCUGGUAGUCCACACAGUAAACGAUGUAUACUCGCGGUUUGCGAUAGAUUGUAAGCCGCCAAGCGAAAGCAUUAAGUAUACCACCUGGGGAGUACGCCGGCAACGGUGAAACUUAAAGGAAUUGACGGC